AUUGAACGCUGGCGGCAGGCCUAACACAUGCAAGUCGAGCGGUAGCACAGAGAACUUGCUCUCGGGUGACGAGCGGCGGACGGGUGAGUAAUGUCUGGGAAACUGCCUGAUGGAGGGGGAUAACUACUGGAAACGGUAGCUAAUACCGCAUAACGUCGCAAGACCAAAGUGGGGGACCUUCGGGCCUCAUGCCAUCAGAUGUGCCCAGAUGGGAUUAGCUAGUAGGUUGGGUAACGGCUCACCUAGGCGACGAUCCCUAGCUGGUCUGAGAGGAUGACCAGCACCACGGGAACUGAGACUCGGUGCAGCCUCCUACGGGAGGCGGCAGUGGGGACUGUUGUACAAUGGGAGCAAGCAUGAGGCAGCCAUGCCGCGUGUGUGAAGAAGGCCUUCGGGUUGUAAAGCACUUUCAGCGGGGAGGAAGGCGGUGAGGUUAAUAACCUCGCCGAUUGACGUUACCCGCAGAAGAAGCACCGGCUAACUCCGUGCCAGCCGCCGCCGUAAUAC
rnacentral:rRNA from 1 species